UGGGGAAUAUUGGACAAUGGGCGAAAGCCUGAUCCAGCCAUGCCGCGUGUGUGAAGAAGGCCUUAUGGUUGUAAAGCACUUUAAGCGAGGAGGAGGGUACUGGUAUUAAUACUACCAGGUACUGGACGUUACUCGCAGAAUAAGCACCGGCUAACUCUGUGCCAGCAGCCGCGGUAAUACAGAGGGUGCGAGCGUUAAUCGGAUUUACUGGGCGUAAAGCGUGCGUAGGCGGCUAAUUGAGUCGGAUGUGAAAUCCCCGAGCUUAACUUGGGAAUUGCAUUCGAUACUGGUAAGCUAGAGUGUGGGAGAGGAUGGUAGAAUUCCAGGUGUAGCGGUGAAAUGCGUAGAGAUCUGGAGGAAUACCGAUGGCGAAGGCAGCCAUCUGGCCUAACACUGACGCUGAGGUACGAAAGCAUGGGGAGCAAACAGG
rnacentral:rRNA from 1 species